GAAUUUUGCGCAAUGGGCGAAAGCCUGACGCAGCAACGCCGCGUGAAGGAUGAAGGCUCUCGAGUCGUAAACUUCUGUCUGGGGGAAAGAUGAUGACGGUACCCCCAAAGCAAGCCCCGGCUAAUUCCGUGCCAGCAGCCGCGGUAAUACGGAAGGGGCGAGCGUUGUUCGGAAUUAUUGGGCGUAAAGGGCGUGUAGGCGGCUUCGCAGGUCGGUGGUGAAAGCAUACAGCUCAACUGUAUUGAGCCACGGAAACGGCGGAGCUUGAGGCUGGGAGGGGCUGGUGGAAUUCCCUGUGUAGCGGUGAAAUGCGUAGAGAUGGGGGAGAACACUCGUGGCGAAGGCGGCCAGCUGGACCAGUUCUGACGCUGAGACGCGAAAGCGUGGGGAGCAAACAGG
rnacentral:rRNA from 1 species